CAAAACGGUAAUCUUGGUAGACUCAUUACCAUUGAAGUGUAGGUGUAGGAGGCAAACAUCUCCAUGUUGAUCAUCCGGUUGAUUGCAGCUUCGCAAUCGUGGUGAUAGUUCUGACGGAUCUGAGACUCCAUUUUGGCAGAUAUUCUUUUUUAUCAAAAUGAAAAGUACAAAAAUAAAGUUCCUUCGACUAUUUUGCUAUUACAGUUAGAGUAAGUGUUACGUUAUCAAUGCGGGACAAAGGCAGAGGAGUUCCGUUCAAUCACUGUUGAAGCAAGAACUUCUUCAUGCGUCUUCCCAGACUUGUGAAAUGGAAGGAGCCUUGCUCGCUCUAUUUAUUGUUCCAAACGGAACGCGUCAGUGAAAUCCACCCUCACAGAGCGUAGCCAAUCACCAUUAGAAUUUCAACAGGAACUAGGCGGAUCAUUUGAUGACGAUCCCACUCAUACACAUGACAUAAAGCGAAGAGUAUUUAUUAUAUUGACAAGAGAGCCGAGUGACCAAUCUAACAAUGGAUGUUAGACAUGUGCUCAACGAUUGAAGACAGGCAAGAUCAGGUGGGACCAUUCUAGCCAAUGAAAGUGCAGAACCACCUGCAACUGGACACCGACAUGUAUAAGAUAACUGGUUUCCAGAAUUGGGAACGAAGACAGUACUGCCAAUACCAGCACCAUCAGCUGUCCAUUUCCAAUUGAUUGUGCCGCGACUGCUGCUUCAAGUUUCAGCAACACA